rnacentral:misc_RNA from 1 species
UACUGAACCACACGUGA